rnacentral:rRNA from 1 species
UACAGAGGGUGCAAGCGUUAAUCGGAAUUAUUGGGCGUAAAGCGCACGUAGGCGGCUUGGCAAGUCGGAUGUGAAAUCCCUCGGCUCAACCUAGGAAGUGCAUCCGAAACUGCCGAGCUUGAGUACUUAAGAGGAUCGCGGAAUUCCCGGUGUAGAGGUGAAAUUCGUAGAUAUCGGGAGGAACACCAGUGGCGAAGGCGGCGAUCUGGGAAGAUACUGACGCUGAGGUGCGAAAGCGUGGGGAGCAAACAGG